rnacentral:rRNA from 1 species
UGCCAGCCGCCGCGGUAAUACGGAGGGUGCGAGCGUUAAUCGGAAUCACUAGGCGUAAAGCGUGCGUAGGCGGUUCGUUAAGUCAAAUCUGAAAGCCCACAGCUUAACUGUGGAGGGUGAUUUGAAACUGGCAGACUUGAGUAUGGCAGAGGUUAGUGGAAUUUCAUGUGUAGCGGUGGAAUGCGUAGAUAUAUGAAGGAACACCAGUGGCGAAGGCGGCUAACUGGACCAGAACUGACGCUGAGGCACGAAAGCGUGGGGAGCAAACAGGAUUAGAUA